rnacentral:rRNA from 1 species
GAUGAACGCUGGCGGCGUGCCUAAUACAUGCAAGUCGAGCGAACGGACGAGAAGCUUGCUUUUCUGAUGUUAGCGGCGGACGGGUGAGUAACACGUGGAUAACCUACCUAUAAGACUGGGAUAACUUCGGGAAACCGGAGCUAAUACCGGAUAAUAUUUUGAACCGCAUGGUUCAAAAGUGAAAGACGGUCUUGCUGUCACUUAUAGAUGGAUCCGCGCUGCAUUAGCUAGUUGGUAAGGUAACGGCCUACCAAGGCAACGAUGCAUAGCCGACCUGAGAGGGUGAUCGGCCACACUGGAACUGAGACACGGUCCAGACUCCUACGGGAGGCAGCGGUAGGGAAUCUUCCGCAAUGGGCGAAAGCCUGACGGAGCAACGCCGCGUGAGUGAUGAAGGUCUUCGGAUCGUAAAACUCUGUUAUUAGGGAAGAACAUAUGUGUAAGUAACUGUGCACGUCUUGACGGUACCUAAUCAGAAAGCCACGGCUAACUACGCG